rnacentral:lncRNA from 1 species
GAAUGCGUUCCCAGCGGGUAGCCUGGGACUGGUGCAGAGUUCCAAGCCCACGGCCCCGGUCGCGGCCUCGCCGCCCUCCCGCGCCCCGCGCCGGGAGCGGGCCUAGAGCGCUCGCCUCGCCCCUCCGCGAGCAGGGCUCUGGCGCCCGCCCCUGUCCGCACCGCUGGCAGCCUGAAGAGAGUCGCUGGCCGUGGUCGCCGCUAGGUAGGAUAUAUCUGCAUCUUGAAAGGAAGAUAAAACAAAAGCCUUCUUUGGAAUAGAUGGAUUUUUGUCACUUUCUGUGUGAACUAAAGUGAUUCAAUGUCUCUUUUGGAUUGCUUCUGCACUUCAAGAACACAAGUUGAAUCACUCAGACCUGAAAAACAGUCUGAAACCAGUAUCCAUCAAUACUUGGAAGAGGAUUUGACAACUUGACUUCUGUCCAUCUUGCACGGCAUACUCCCACAGGAACACUGGUAACUAUAAAAAUUACAAAUCUGGAAAACUGCAAUGAAGAACGCCUGAAAGCUUUACAGAAAGCCGUGAUUCUAUCCCACUUUUUCCGGCAUCCCAAUAUUACAACUUAUUGGACAGUUU